GUGUCAGCUACACGUCAGCUAUUGCCUCCAUCUGUACAGCAGCAUGGGGGAGGAGCGUUGACGGCGCGGGGGCCAGCAGGGCAGACAUGGCGGCCGAUAUCUCAGCAUAUCACCGCGGAACUGGAGAGGAUGUCUGUCAGCCUUUAAGCAGCGAAUUAUUUCUGACAACAUCGUGUUUGAUGCCACCUGGAAUCAUAGCUGUUUCGGCUCCAAGAUGCUGCAGAGGUGUGCAGGAAGGAUGAAAGUGUCAAUCUGCAGCAGGCACGGACCGACAUCACAGCAGCCGAGAGCAGAACUGCAGCAUUACCUCAAAUCCCCAAACUGGAUCUUCUGUACAGUUUUUAGCAGCAGAUUUGCUCUUUUUCAAGUUUAUAUUGUAGUUUUCUAUUGCAUCUUAAUUAUGAAAUCUUUAAGGCGUCUCUGGUGUAGGAAAUAAAACCGUUUCUGAGCUCUCAGGCCCUCCUCAUCCUCUCCUGCCUCUGAAUGCAAUCAACCAAAUUAUAUCAUCGCUCUCUUCUCUCCCAUGUAAUUCAAUUCAUUUGACUGAUUGCUAAUGGCUCUGAAGGGCUGACGCCAAACUGUUUCACCAGGUCUCCAGUGGGAUAAUAAAAGUUAUUACAGUUCAUCCUCCUUGGUUCAUGUAUGUGUGAGGCCAAAUUUCACACCAUUCUAACAGGUUCAACCUGUACUUACCAGAGGUAGGAGUAAGUCCCACAUGUGCAAGUCCCAAGUUACUGUUGUGAGAAUCAAGCAUGUCAGGUCACAGCUAUAAAUCAAGCAAGUCACAAGUCAAGUCAUACAAAAGUCUGAUGAUCUGGUAAUGUUAUGGGCAUAUGACAUAUUUAAGCAAAAUGUUCACAAACCUCUGAUUAUUAAUUGUGCAUUUGUAGGCUAUAAACUAACCCUUGACUAUUAAAAAGGCAUCCAUGCCUUUCUUGGCUAUCAGAAACCCUUUUCAAUAAAAUGUGCAAUCAAUUCAAAAGCAGGUCUAACAGCUUAAACCUAACGUUAGUUUACGAGCUAUGUAUUUGUCAGUUAAUGAAGUUG